AACGAACGCUGGCGGCAUGCCUAACACAUGCAAGUCGAACGAGACCUUCGGGUCUAGUGGCGCACGGGUGCGUAACGCGUGGGAAUCUACCCUCAGGUUCGGAAUAACUCAGAGAAAUUUGAGCUAAUACCGGAUGAUGACGUAAGUCCAAAGAUUUAUCGCCUGAGGAUGAGCCCGCGUAGGAUUAGGUAGUUGGUGAGGUAAAGGCUCACCAAGCCGACGAUCCUUAGCUGGUCUGAGAGGAUGAUCAGCGACACUGGGACUGAGACACGGCCCAGACUCCUACGGGAGGCAGCAGUGGGGAAUAUUGGACAAUGGGCGAAAGCCUGAUCCAGCAAUGCCGCGUGAGUGAUGAAGGCCUUAGGGUUGUAAAGCUCUUUUACCCGGGAUGAUAAUGACAGUACCGGGAGAAUAAGCCCCGGCUAACUCCGUG
rnacentral:rRNA from 1 species